CUUUCUUCUCAUUUGUGCUGUCUUCCUUUCUUCUCAUUUGUGCUUUAGUUUUUGCUCUUAUUGUCAUUUUGAAAAACAGUUGGUGGGUUGGAAAGUUUCCUCGCAUCCCGCCUCUCCGGAUAGGCCCGCCCUCCUCUCUCCGAUGACUACGCCUCCGCCUCGUGCAACAUUGUUUUUCAGAAGUUGGAGAUUGAUUAUGUGAUUGGGGAGAGCCACCGGGAAUAUUUGCCUAAUUCUUCGGGACCAGCCACCAUUAUCAGAAUCUUUAGAGUUACGAGAGAAGGACAAUAGUUGCUUUGUUGGAGGAGAUGACCUUUUUGUUGGAGCA